rnacentral:rRNA from 1 species
UUUAUGGAGAGUUUGAUCCUGGCUCAGGAUGAACGCUGGCGGCGUGCCUAAUACAUGCAAGUCGAGCGAACGGACGAGAAGCUUGCUUCUCUGAUGUUAGCGGCGGACGGGUGAGUAACACGUGGAUAACCUACCUAUAAGACUGGGAUAACUUCGGGAAACCGGAGCUAAUACCGGAUAAUAUUUUGAACCGCAUGGUUCAAAAGUGAAAGACGGUCUUGCUGUCACUUAUAGAUGGAUCCGCGCUGCAUUAGCUAGUUGGUAAGGUAACGGCUUACCAAGGCAACGAUGCAUAGCCGACCUGAGAGGGUGAUCGGCCACACUGGAACUGAGACACGGUCCAGACUCCUACGGGAGGCAGCAGUAGGGAAUCUUCCGCAAUGGGCGAAAGCCUGACGGAGCAACGCCGCGUGAGUGAUGAAGGUCUUCGGAUCGUAAAACUCUGUUAUUAGGGAAGAAUAUAUGUGUAAGUAACUGUGCACAUCUUGACGGUACCUAAUCAGAAAGCCACGGCUAACUACGUGCCAGCAGCCGCGGUAAUACGUAGGUGGCAAGCGUUAUCCGGAAUUAUUGGGCGUAAAGCGCGCGUAGGCGGUUUUUUAAGUCUGAUGUGAAAGCCCACGGCUCAACCGUGGAGGGUCAUUGGAAACUGGAAAACUUGAGUGCAGAAGAGGAAAGUGGAAUUCCAUGUGUAGCGGUGAAAUGCGCAGAGAUAUGGAGGAACACCAGUGGCGAAGGCGACUUUCUGGUCUGUAACUGACGCUGAUGUGCGAAAGCGUGGGGAUCAAACAGGAUUAGAUACCCUGGUAGUCCACGCCGUAAACGAUGAGUGCUAAGUGUUAGGGGGUUUCCGCCCCUUAGUGCUGCAGCUAACGCAUUAAGCACUCCGCCUGGGGAGUACGACCGCAAGGUUGAAACUCAAAGGAAUUGACGGGGACCCGCACAAGCGGUGGAGCAUGUGGUUUAAUUCGAAGCAACGCGAAGAACCUUACCAAAUCUUGACAUCCUUUGACAACUCUAGAGAUAGAGCCUUCCCCUUCGGGGGACAAAGUGACAGGUGGUGCAUGGUUGUCGUCAGCUCGUGUCGUGAGAUGUUGGGUUAAGUCCCGCAACGAGCGCAACCCUUAAGCUUAGUUGCCAUCAUUAAGUUGGGCACUCUAAGUUGACUGCCGGUGACAAACCGGAGGAAGGUGGGGAUGACGUCAAAUCAUCAUGCCCCUUAUGAUUUGGGCUACACACGUGCUACAAUGGACAAUACAAAGGGCAGCGAAACCGCGAGGUCAAGCAAAUCCCAUAAAGUUGUUCUCAGUUCGGAUUGUAGUCUGCAACUCGACUACAUGAAGCUGGAAUCGCUAGUAAUCGUAGAUCAGCAUGCUACGGUGAAUACGUUCCCGGGUCUUGUACACACCGCCCGUCACACCACGAGAGUUUGUAACACCCGAAGCCGGUGGAGUAACCUUUUAGGAGCUAGCCGUCGAAGGUGGGACAAAUGAUUGGGGUGAAGUCGUAACAAGGUAGCCGUAUCGGAAGGUGCGGCUGGAUCACCUCCUUUCU